CCUACGGGUGGCAGCAGUGGGGAAUAUUGCGCAAUGGGCGCAAGCCUGACGCAGCGACGCCGCGUGAGGGAUGAAGGUCUUCGGAUCGUAAACCUCUGUCAGCAGGGAAGAACGGUCACUGUGCUAUUCAGCAGUGAAUUGACGGUACCUGCAAAGGAAGCACCGGCUAACUCCGUGCCAGCAGCCGCGGUAAUACGGAGGGUGCGAGCGUUAAUCGGAAUUUCUGGGCGUAAAGCGCUCGUUGGCGGUAUGUCAAGUCAAGGGUGAAAUCCCCGCGCUCAACGUGGGAACUGCCUUUGAAACUGGCAAACUGGAGUGUGUGGGAGGAUAGUGGAAUUCCAGGUGUAGGAGUGAAAGCCGUAGAUAUCUGGGGGAACAUCAGUGGCGAAGGCGACUAUCUGGCACAUAACUGACGCUGAGGAGCGAAAGCGUGGGUAGCAAACAGGAUUAGAUACCCGGGUAGUC
rnacentral:rRNA from 1 species